rfam:Acetobacter pasteurianus IFO 3283-01 DNA, complete genome.
GUCCCGUUCGUCUAGAGGCCUAGGACACCGCCCUUUCACGGCGGCAACACGGGUUCGAAUCCCGUACGGGACG